UGCGACCCCAGGUCAGGCGGGAAUACCCGCUGAGUUUAA
rnacentral:rRNA from 1 species